rnacentral:rRNA from 1 species
UACGUAGGGUGCAAGCGUUAAUCGGAAUUACUGGGCGUAAAGCGUGCGCAGGCGGCCCGCUAAGUCGAACGUGAAAUCCCCAGGCUCAACCUGGGAACUGCGUCCGAUACUGGCAGGCUUGAAUCCGGGAGAGGGAUGUGGAAUUCCAGGUGUAGCGGUGAAAUGCGUAGAUAUCUGGAGGAACACUGGUGGCGAAGGCGGCAUCCUGGACCGGUAUUGACGCUGAGGCGCGAAAGCUAGGGGAGCAAACGGG